AAUGCAGCCUCACACUUAACUGUGAAACCAGAAAGUGCAAACACAUAUGUGCUGAAGACUUUCCAAAUGAAAAAAUGUCAUCUAUGUAUCGUUUAUAGAAGACUCUAUUGUUGUUGAAGAUGUGUUCCUGUUACAAAAAUGACAUAAAUCAACAUGUAUAGUCAGGAGCAAAUGCCGCUCCCUUUGCUGUACCCUCCUUCUGUAAACAGAACUCCUUAUUGUACAUGAAGAAGUUCAGUACGAGUUCUGGCAUAUCAACUAGAAAAUGUGUGGGAGGUGGAGGAUCACUCCUUGAAUUAAAAAAAUGUCUCCGAGCUGUAAGGCCCUCAGAAUCUGUGGGGUAUUCAGAUGAAGUCAGACCCUCUGAUGAAGAUCCAGAGGUGUGGCAGUGGGGGCGUGGUGAAGCAUCAGCUGAGGAUGGAGAGGAUGCUGGUUGAAUUGUCAGGUAACCUGCAAUGAUGAUUCUCGGAUAUGUGUAAGCACCACCAGUGUAUUUGUAUGUGCUUUGUUUGUUGCUUGUUCUUGCAGGAAUGCUGUGGGAAAGAGAGAGAGAUCACCUCUUAACACUCGCACAGAGCAGUAUCUGAUUGAAGUACAGGUGAAGUUGAACUGGAAAGCAGCGAGGCUGAGACUGGGCGUUUUUCUCUCUGGUUGUGCUGGACUUUAGUUAAAGAGAGUGUGCACUGAACAGCAUGCAGGGAAAAAAUAGCAAUAAAGUGAGCCUGAAGCUCAGAGGAAAGUCUGUAAAAAUUUCCAUGAUCCAUGGCGAUGUGCAUGCAAGACACUGUGGCUUGUAGGCCUCUCCAGGUCUUGGGACGACCAAGUGUUGGGAAAAGCUGAACAAUGGACUCAUCAGAGAAGAUGACCUUACUCCAGGAGCUCUGUGGAGUUGAAGGGGAGAAUCCGGUAUUGCCAGUGGCCACUGGAUGUCCUAAAUGCUGUUUUGAGCUUCUGGGGCUAGAACUACCUUCCAGUACCCUUUUGUGAAGUCCAGGGUGGAGAUGAAGCGGGCUCUCCCCAGGUGAUCCACCAGGUUAUCCACCCGUGGAAGGGGGUAGCCUUCGAACUUCAAAACCUAGUUCAGUUUCCGGGAGUCAUUGUCAUUCCGGGAGUCAUAAUGUGGUAUACUUGUGCAUUUCUUCGCUUACCCAGCUGUUGCAGAUGGUAGUUCACUGGACCCACCUGGUCUAGGACUGUGUACAGGCCUUGCAAGUGGGCCAUGGAAUUUGCAGUUGGAGCUGGCCAGCAGGAGGAGCCAUAAAAUAUGGCCAUAAAAAUAAAAAGGCGACCUCCUGGUGAAGGUGGUGGUGGGUCCGUAGUCUGACCUGAGCACAGCACAGGGUGUGAAGCGGGAAUACACUGUGGACAGGAUGGCUUUCCUCACAUUUGUACACUCAAUAAGAUAAAUAUAUUAAUCCUGAAGGACUUUUUGGGCCAACUUGCUCAAGACAGCAGAAAUAAAAAUAUUAAAUAGAUUUGGUAAAAAAAUGUAAACAUGUAAUGGGUAUUAAAUUUCACACCAGUGAAAGGUGUGGAAUAUACUGGGAGGAAACCAGAGAACCCAGAGGAAAUCCACAUGGGCAAAGGCAGAACAUGUGAAACUCCACACAGGCAGUAACCCAAGCUCAGGAUCAAACCCAGGACCCUGGAGCUCUGAGGAGACGACACUACCCACUGCCACCGUCUUCUAUAUUUGGCUAUGUAUUUCAGUACAGUAGAAAAAAACAAGGACUUACACCUGAACCACUUAGGUUUUUUUAAAUAUUUCACAAAAAACAAGAGCUUUAUAGCUGAGCUUUAAUUUAGAGGUAUAUAUUUUCUAGAAUAUAUAAAAUCCACUUUUAUAUAUUACAGAAUACAUGCAACCAGAAAAGUAAAAGAAAAUGAUAUUAAUUUGAAUUCAACAACAGAGCAUAUAUACUGUAGAUAUAAUUAAGUGAUUGUGUAGUAACAAGCAGUUCAAACCCAGAUAAUGUCCAGAAUCUGUCCUUUUCUACACAAGAACAUUGCUGAAGACUUCUCUGAUUAACUAGAUGUACAUUACCUGUAGUGCUUAUUGUUACUUCCAAAUGAAUACAUGUCUUUAUUAAGAUGUGUAAAUGAGGAAAAGAUGUGGUUCAGCACUAACAGGCCCAACUUUACUGG